UACAGAGGUGGCAAGCGUUGUUCGGAAUUACUGGGCGUAAAGGGCGCGUAGGCGGCCUUCUAAGUCAGACGUGAAAUCCCCCGGCUUAACCUGGGAACUGCGUCCGAUACUGGUUGGCUUGAAUCCGGGAGAGGGAUGUGGAAUUCCAGGUGUAGCGGUGAAAUGCGUAGAUAUCUGGAGGAACACCGGUGGCGAAGGCGACAUCCUGGACCGGCAUUGACGCUGAGGCGCGAAAGCCAGGGGAGCAAACGGG
rnacentral:rRNA from 1 species